UAAGUUUUCAUCUGAUGUGGUGAUGCAUGGACGUGUCCCCAUCUUACUCCCCUGUUGAACCGCUCCAUAUAUACUGUGAGCAAUGGCGUCCCUUCCUUUGAGCAUCGACAAUUCCUCCCCACCAUUUUAGGUCGCAUAGCUCGCACUCGUACACAUACGCACACAUGUAUAUAAAUACACAGAUACCCACAGCCCAUUACAAAUUUUCACUGUAGUUGCUCUAUACUGAUACGAGCUUGCUUAUCUCACAUUCAUCAUGGGAAAAAUCAAGAUAGGAAUCAACGGUAUUUGUUCAAUUGCGUUUUAGUUUAAUUGGUUAUAGAUGGAUGAUGAUGAAAAUUUCUAAUAUUUUAUAACGCUUGAUUUGUUGUGUGUUUGUAUAGGGUUUGGGAGAAUUGGGCGAUUGGUGGCCAGAGUAGCAUUGCACAGUGAUGAUGUUGAACUUGUUGCUGUGAAUGAUCCGUUUAUUACCACUGAAUAUAUGGUA
rnacentral:lncRNA from 1 species